GCAUGAAGUCGGAAUUGCUAGUAAUCGCAGAUCAGCAUGCUGCGGUGAAUACGUUCCCGGGCCUUGUACACACCGCCCGUCACACCAUGGGAGUCGGUAACACCCGAAGUCGGUAGCCUAACCGUAAGGAGGGCGCCGCCGAAGGUGGGAUUGAUGACUGGGUGAAGUCGUAACAAGGUACC
rnacentral:rRNA from 1 species